rnacentral:rRNA from 1 species
UAGGAAUCUUGCGCAAUGGGGGAAACCCUGACGCAGCCAUGCCGCGUGAAUGAUGAAGGUCUUAGGAUUGUAAAAUUCUUUCAGCGGGGACGAUAAUGACGGUACCCGCAGAAGAAGCCCCGGCUAACUUCGUGCCAGCAGCCGCGGUAAUACGAAGGGGGCUAGCGUUGCUCGGAAUUACUGGGCGUAAAGGGCGCGUAGGCGGAUGUUUAAGUCAGAGGUAAAAGCCCAGGGCUCAACCUUGGAACUGCCUUUGAUACUGGACAUCUUGAGUACGGGAGAGGUGUGUGGAACUCCGAGUGUAGAGGUGAAAUUCGUAGAUAUUCGGAAGAACACCAGUGGCGAAGGCGACACACUGGCCCGUUACUGACGCUGAGGCGCGAAAGCGUGGGGAGCAAAC